rnacentral:tRNA from 1 species
GGAGCCGUAGCUCAACUGGAUAGAGCGGUGUAAAAAAGGAGCUUUGAUAAAAGCUCAUGCAGCAAUUUUACAUAUGGAGGUCACCCCACAGGUCGCAGGUUCGAAUCCUGUCGGUUCCA